GGUAGCGUGGCCGAGUUGGUCUAAGGCGUUGGAUUUAAGUCGAUUGAUUCCCAAUGGGGGCAACCCCGCGCGAGUUCGAACCUCGCCGCUACCA